CAUGACAUACACGCAGUACGCUGUGCCUCAUACCAGCCGUGACAGUCACACAGUCACUAUGGAUUCCAGACAGGCACACAGUCACUGUGGAUUCUAUCAGCAUGUCGAGAAACCUCUCAGUGCUCAGCCCAGGCUUCCAAGCUGGGAACAUCGUAAAGAGCAAAAGCAGAUGCAGGUCACAUCCCAAAUGGCUCUAGCAGCUAAGGAGAGACAGCUUCUAUAUGAAAAAUCACACAGAUAGCCAAGCUGCCUGAGCCUCUCCUAGAAUGGCUCAGACCAACUCCAGUCUCAGGCAAUUCCAGUUUGAGCUCCAGCAGCUCCAGCCAGCUCCAGCUCCAGCUCCAGCUCCAGCCAGCUCCAGCUCCAGCUCCAGCUCCAGCUCCAGCUCCAGCUCCAGCUCCAGCUCCAGCUCCAGCCAGCUCCAGCUCCAGCUCCAGCUCCAGCUCCAGCUCCAGCUCCAGCUCCAGCUCCAGCUCCAGCUCCAGCCAGCUCCAGCUCCAGCUCCAGCUCCAGCUCCAGCUCCAGCUCCAGCUCCAGCCAGCUCCAGCUCCAGCUCCAGCUCCAGCUCCAGCUCCAGCUCCAGCUCCAGCUCCAGCUCCAGCUCCAGCUCCAGCUCCAGCUCCAGCUCCAGCUCCAGCUCCAGCUCCAGCUCCAGCCAGGUCCAACUAGCCCCAGCCAGUCUCAGACAGCCCCAGACAGCUCCAGACAGCUCCAGACAGCUCCAGACAGCUCCAGACAACUCCAGACAGCUUCAGACAGCUUCAGACAGCUUCAGACAGCCCUAGCCAGCCCCAGCCAGCUCCAUCUCAAGCCAGCUCCAGCUAUUUGCAGCACCAGUCAGCUUCAGUUCCUCUCCAGUCCCCUACUCCCACCACCACUAAAUACUCAGCCUUCUGGAGAAACAUAGGCACUCCAGACCCCUCUGUGCUAAUGGCGGUGGGUCCCUGUGGUCCAUCUGCAACAGGCCUUAACACCACAGUGUCCACUCCAUUUACGGAAACAGUCUGCUGAUCCCUUGACAUACUGAAUACACAGAGUUCAUAAUGGUUUCAGCUCCACCAGAAAACUACAUAUGAGGCUGAGCCCAUGUCCAAGGAAACCCCAGAGACCCAGUUGGACCAUCUAAAUCGUGAGCUGAGCCAAGCGAAGUAUGUAUUGAGCUUUAUGCAGAAUGAUUGAAUGGUAGAGGUGGCCUGGAGAUACCAGACAUGGCCUUGUCCCUAACUGUAGCUAGAGGAUGGCAGUAAACAAAUUCCAUGUCAACAAGGAUUUUAUGGGCAGAGAUAAGAAAGGGGACAAAAGGGCUGGGCGUGGUGGCGCACGCCUUUGAUCCCAGCACUUGGGAGGCAGAGGCAGGCGGAUUUCUGAGUUCGAGGCCAGCCUGGUCUACAAAGUGAGUUCCAGCACAGCCAGGGCUACACAGAGAAACCCUGUCUCGAAAAAUGAAAAAAAAAAGGGUGGGGGAACAAAAAAGCAGAGUAUCCUGGGUGGUCCCUGCAGGUAUGGGAGAAGCAGGUAGUUACUCUGCUACCCAGAACCCUCUCCUUCAGCGUCCGACUUGCCUUACCUACCAGCCACUGCAGCCAGCACCAUCCUAUCCUCUCUCUGUUCUCACUGGGCUCCUGUCACUCUGCAAUUAGAGAUCACAUUUUAUCAUGGGUCCUCCCACCUCCCCACCAGACAGGAGUAUUCCCGAGAGACUCAGGAGCAAUCGUUAGCAUACAGCAGGGCUCAGUGUCGGCUGAAUACAGAGCCCCCACCCCCACCCCCACCCCCGUGCUCAAGCUUGCUGCCCAUGUCACAAAGCCUGACAUCCCUUGACAUCCAUAUUACACCUGUGGCAUAUUAAGACUGUGAUAAGACCAGAGCAUAAGUGUGUGGGCCCCAGAAACAAGCAAGGGAGUGAGGGGUGGACAAAGAAACUGGCGUAUAGCAGGGGCGAUGUUCCCCACCCCCCUGAACCCACCAAUUAUUGAGAAGGAAAGCUAGCCAAGAUGAGCAGUCCCCUGGUGCAAAGUCAAAUCCUCUGCCCUGGGUUAGCAGAGCCCUAAGAGCCGUGGUCCAGGUCAAGGAGUGAUUGCCGGAUCUGCCACGACCUCCCUCUGGGGCCUCUGGGGCCAGAAUUGAUUGGUGUGAUUUAAACUCAUCAAGGAUAGCAGGAGAGGGGACCCCAGGGGAGCUUGAUAGAAAUAUGGACUCUGCCACCAGAGCGCCUGCCUGCUAAUAGAGUCCUGGCCUCCUGCCUUGCCACCCCAUGGUGGAGGCAGCAACUACUCAGACUUUCAGAUACUCCGGACACGAAUGCCCCUUGUCCGAGACUCCAGCUGUCCAGAACAUGACUUCACGAGUACCCAGUGAGCGUGCAGAAGCAGUCCCCCAGGCUGAGGUCUGAGCUCAUUCCCGGAGGGUAAAGAGGACGGAGGACCAGGGGAGGGUCUCUCUUCAGCCUACCCUCUCUGGGAUGAAGUGUAGCCAGGGAGUGGGCCGCCCAUGCCAGGCGCCUCAGCAUUUCCAGGCAGGCAGCCCCUUAGACCUCAUGCUCUCCUCUCAUGAGAUUCAGAGCCAGGAUGCUAGCAAAUACUGAACCACAUGCGCAGUCCUGAGAAGGUUCCCACAUGGACUUCGACACGCUGAAGCUCCACUCCAGGCCAGGAGAGAAGAGGCACGGUUUCAUUUGCUCUCCAUUCAGCCCUAAUUUGUACCACUGGGUGUUUUAAUUUACAAGUCAGAGUUAAUAAAUUGCGUGUAAGCUCGA